AUGCAGGGAGGGAGACCCUUGUCCUACUACAGCUCUGCUCUUUGUCCAAGAAAUGCAGCUCUCUCUACUUAUGAAAAAGAGGCUCUAGCUAUUUUGGAAGCACUAAAGAGAUGGAGACACUAUUUGCUGGGCAAUGAGCUAGUGAUCAAAACUGAUCAACAAUCCUUAAAGUUUAUCACCGAUCAGAAAAUAACAGAGGGGGUACAACAUAAGUUGAUGAUGAAACUCUUGGAAUUCAAUUUCACUAUUCAGUACAAGGAGUGCAAAACAAAGUGGCUGAUGCUUUAUCUAGACUAUUGCCCAGUUGUUUCACCCUAUCUGCUGUGA
rnacentral:rRNA from 1 species